CGAACGGGUGAGUAACACGUGGGUGAUCUGCCCUGCACUUCGGGAUAAGCUUGGGAAACUGGGUCUAAUACCGGAUAGGACUACGGGCUGCAUGGUCUGUGGUGGAAAGCUUUUGCGGUGUGGGAUGGGCCCGCGGCCUAUCAGCUUGUUGGUGGGGUGAUGGCCUACCAAGGCGACGACGGGUAGCCGGCCUGAGAGGGUGUCCGGCCACACUGGGACUGAGAUACGGCCCAG
rnacentral:rRNA from 1 species